rnacentral:rRNA from 1 species
CAGUAGCCGCGGUAAUACGGAGGGUACAAGCGUUAUCCGGAUUCACUGGGUUUAAAGGGUGCGUAGGCGGAUCUGUAAGUCAGUGGUGAAAUCUCCAGGCUUAACCUGGAAACUGCCGUUGAUACUAUAGGUCUUGAAUUUUGUGGAGGUUAGCGGAAUAUGUCAUGUAGCGGUGAAAUGCAUAGAUAUGACAUAGAACACCAAUUGCGAAGGCAGCUGGCUACACAACUAUUGACGCUGAGGCACGAAAGCGUGGGGAUCAAACAGGAUUAGAUACCCGCGUAGUCCCUGUCUCUUAUAC